rfam:Rattus norvegicus chromosome 10, whole genome shotgun sequence.
GGGGUUUUAGCUCAGUGGUAGAGCACUUGCCUAGCAAGCACAAGGCCCUGGGUUCGGUCCCCAGCUCUG